rnacentral:rRNA from 1 species
UACGUAGGGUGCGAGCGUUAAUCGGAAUUACUGGGCGUAAAGCGUGCGCAGGCGGUUCGGUGUGUCCGAUGUGAAAGCCCCGGGCUUAACCUGGGAAUGGCAUUGGAAACUGGCGGGCUUGAGUGCGGCAGAGGGGGGUGGAAUUCCGCGUGUAGCAGUGAAAUGCGUAGAGAUGCGGAGGAACACCGAUGGCGAAGGCAGCCCCCUGGGUCGACACUGACGCUCAGGCACGAAAGCGUGGGGAGCAAACAGG